AGUGCUUCUCGGCCUUUUGGCUAAGAUCAAGUGUAGUGUCCUUUCUGCCUUUAAUACCUUUUAUUUUAUUAAUUGACCCCUCUUUAUUUAAGGAUUUCUUGCAGCAAAACAAUACAUCUAAAAUAAAUACUCAGAUUUAUUUUAGUUAACUCAU
rnacentral:snRNA from 1 species